GGAAAUCCGUUCCAGCAUGGGAUGAAGAAACUUCAUUUAGUAGAGGACCUGAAUCCUGAAAAGAGAACAAAGACUGUAACCAACUACCUCUAGUCAGAAUGCCAUUCUUAAAAGGGUCUGAAAAGCAAGACUUUGAUCAUUACUCUCCAGAUGAAAGUAUGGCUCAAAGCAAUUAGCAUGCUCCAGGGAUCAGCUUCUCUGGUUGAGUUGCAAUGCUCAAAGAUAGAAGGACAUCUGAAGUUCCUGGGCCAAGUUCAGUUGAGUCUUGACCUAACUGCAUUGUGUUGCACCUAGAGAUCUGAGAAGAAGUCCUAGAUGAGCAUGAAGCCAUUCCCAGUUUCGAUGUGCCUGAUAUCUGGCAAUAAAUUCUCCUAGAAUCCAAACAGUUUUCCU